CCAGAUGGCAUCCCAUCAUCCGCAGCAUCUCUCAACCUUUAUCUCCUAUCUCCUGCCUCAUCUCCUUCCUAAGUAAAGAACACCUUCCAACUCAACAUAAGGCAGCUACAGGUUGGAGUGCAAUGGCGCAAUCUUGGCUCACGACAACCUCCGCCUCCCGGGUAUAAGUGAUUCUCCUGCCUCGGCCUCCCGAGUAGCUGAGAUUACAGCCUUAAACCGAUUAAAUGAAGUCUUGACAGCCAGCAGCCUGCAUCCACUACAGAAAAAACGACACCUUGAAUCACACCUUCACUUGAAUUCAGUUGAGUUCCAGUGACUACCACCUCUGUGCUUUGUCAACUUUGGGUUGAGUCCUUUCCUGAAAACACAUCAGUGUAACUAAGAAGUCACUGCUGUUUCUUGGAGUUGGGUUGGAAUAGUUGGAGUGGGAGCCAGGAUGGUUGGAAAACAAACCACACAUAUUGCUGCUUCUGGAAGCUUUGUUCUUUAAUGAGCCAUGGGGUGAUUUGUUCAUCAAGCUGCUUUUGUGUAGCCAUACAGUGCAUAUUUUGAGUGACACAAACUGCACUUUAUACAGAUGGUAUCUUGUUACCCCUCAACCCCCCAGCAAAGAAAAAAAAACAAAAAGGA
rnacentral:lncRNA from 1 species